UAGGGAAUCUUCCGCAAUGGGCGAAAGCCUGACGGAGCAACGCCGCGUGAGUGAUGAAGGUCUUCGGAUCGUAAAACUCUGUUAUUAGGGAAGAACAAAUGUGUAAGUAACUAUGCACGUCUUGACGGUACCUAAUCAGAAAGCCACGGCUAACUACGUGCCAGCAGCCGCGGUAAUACGUAGGUGGCAAGCGUUAUCCGGAAUUAUUGGGCGUAAAGCGCGCGUAGGCGGUUUUUUAAGUCUGAUGUGAAAGCCCACGGCUCAACCGUGGAGGGUCAUUGGAAACUGGAUAACUUGAGUGCAGAAGAGGAAAGUGGAAUUCCAUGUGUAGCGGUGAAAUGCGCAGAGAUAUGGAGGAACACCAGUGGCGAAGGCGACUUUCUGGUCUGUAACUGACGCUGAUGUGCGAAAGCGUGGGGAUCAAACAGG
rnacentral:rRNA from 1 species